CCACUCCCCUUCUAAGGGAAAAAGAAGUAGCGGGUUGUGUCUUUGUUCCUCCAUUUGGAUUGUGGGUUUUUUGUGGGACUUGGUCAUUUCUUUGUUUCAUGGUGUGCACUUUGCGGGCGUCCCUCCCUUCAGUGGCCUUGCACCAUCAAUGUAUUUGUGGCCCGUGACUUUCUCUGGCGUUGAGUGUCCACUUGUGACAAAUCCUCUUUGGAGUUUGAUUCUUGACCCCCAUUGACUUUCUCACUGGAAAGGUUGUUGGGUGUUUUGUACACGGAGGGGUGCAACAGCGGGGUGGGUUUGUGUUAUUAGUAGUCAAUUUGUCGUUUGAAGCCUUGUGGUGGGUUGGGGGGUUGUUUACCUUUCAGUAACGCGCUCCAGAAAAGGUGGGUGGGAUUUUUGUGGAUUGGUGUUCAGGAAGGACGAAAUGCAGUGCGAUUUCACGGGUGGCCACCCUAGUCCUUCUUGAUCGUCGUCCCCUGUAGUUCCCCCCCUUUUGCGAAGGCAGGGGGUUGGGGAAGCUUGUUCUCUAUUUGAGCCUCCCCUUGUGUGCUGUUAGACACACUUGAUAUCUCUCUUUCUUUCAUGUUGUUUUCUUCCUUUCGGCCCCCUAGCUUUACAGAGAAAAGGUGAGAUUGUUGUGGAUUGGUGUUGGGGAAGGACGAAACACAGUGUGAGUUCCCAGGGUGGCCACCCUAGUCCUUCUCGAUCGCCAUCCCCUGCAGUUCCCCCCUUUUUACGCAGGCACGGGGUUCAGUUCACGUAGAGAUAGGGUUUAGCAGCUGGAAGAGCACCGCAUGUCUUGCGGUGUCUUGUGUGCCCUCGGAGGCCCUUGAAAAUCUGGAGGACCGAGUACCGUUCAUGCCUGGUCGUACUCAUAACCGCAUCAGGUCUCCAAGGUGAACAAACUCUGGCCAAUAGAAUAAUGUAGGUAAGGGAAGUUGGCAAAACUGAUCCGUAACAUUGGGAAAAGGAUUGGAUCUGAGGGCUAGGCCUAGGGGUCUACACCCUCAACUCGUGGGCUGUCGGCAGUUUGCCCGAGCUACUCUCACGGCGAGGGCGAGCAGUCGCGUGCCAAUUGGGCUAUGGGCAUAGAAUGCCCCCUGCCGGGGGCUUUUCCCUAGGCAUCGAAUAGUUGAAUCAAAACUGGUACAGACAAGGGGAAUCUGACUGUUUAAUUAAAACAAAGCAUUGCGAUGGUCCCUGUGGAUGCUGAUGCAAUGUGAUUUCUACCCAGUGCUCUGAAUGUUAAAGUGAAGAAAUUCAACCAAGUGCAAGUAAACAGCGGGAGUAACUAUGACUCUCUUAAGGUAGCCAAAUGCCUCAUCAUCUAAUUAGUGACACACAUGAAUGGAUUAUCGAGAUUCCCACUGUCCCUGUCUACUAUCUAGCGAAACCACAGCCAAGGGAACGGGCUUGGCAAAAUUAGCGGGGAAAGAAGACCCUGUUGAGCUUGACUCUAGUCCGACUUUGUGAAAUGACUUGAGAGGUGUAGAAUAAGUGGGAGCCAUUUUCGGCGCAAGUGAAAUACCACUACUUUUAACGUUAUUUUACUUAUUCCGUGGGGUGGAGACGGGGCACUUCCCCUGUUUUUGGCCUUAAGGCACGUUUCGGUGGGUCGAUCCAGGCGGAAUACAUUGUCAGGUGGGGAGUUUGGCUGGGGUGGCACAUCUGUUAAAAGAUAACGCAGGUGUCCUAAGAUGAGCUCAACGAGAACAGAAAUAUCGUGUGGAACAAAAGGGUAAAAGCUCAUUUGAUUUUGAUUUUUAGUACAAAUACAAACCAUGAAAGCGUGGCCUAUCGAUCCUUUAGAUUUUCAGAAUUUGAAGCUAGAGGUGUAAGAAAAGUUACCACAGGGAUAACUGGCUUGUGGCAGCCAAGCAUUCAUAGCGACGUUGCUUUUUGAUCCUUCGGUGUCAGCUCUUCCUAUCAUUGUGAAGCAGAAUUCACCAACUGUUGGAUUGUUCACCCACCAAUAGGGAACAUGAGCUGGGUUUAGACCGUCGUGAUACAGGUUAGUUUUACCCUACUAAUGAACCGCACUGCAAUAGUAAUUCAACUUAGUACGAGAGGAACCGUUGAUUCACACAAUUGGUCAUCACGCUUGGUUGAAAAGCCAGUGGCGCGAAGCUACCGUGUGUAGGAUUAUGACUGAACACCUCUAAGUCAGAAUCCACGCUAGAAGUGGUGCAUGUCACACUUCGACUAUAUCUCAACCCGUAGUAGGAGCAUCGCUUUGUCAACCCCAGGGGUCCGUGUCAUUUGCAAACCGCGACCGUGAAGCAUCUCGGUCGGGGCAGCUUUGAAGUUCAAUUC
rnacentral:rRNA from 1 species